AGCAGCCGCGGUAAUUCCAGCUCCAAUAGCGUAUAUUAAAGUUGUUGCAGUUAAAAAGCUCGUAGUUGAAUUUCGGGAUCAAUUGAUUGGUCAUGCCUACGGUAUGUACUAGUCAUAUUGGUUCUCACCUUCUAAUGAACCUUAAUGUCAUUCACUUGAUGUUUUGGGGAAUUAGGACUGUUACCUUGAAAAAAUUAGAGUGUUUAAAGCAGGCUUACGCUUGAAUACAUUAGCAUGGAAUAAUGAAAUAGGACAUCGCAUUCUAUUUUGUUGGUUUCUAGGAUCGAUGUAAUGAUUAAUAGGGAUAGUUGGGGGCAUUAGUAUUCAAUUGUCAGAGGUGAAAUUCUUGGAUUUAUUGAAGACUAACUACUGCGAAAGCACUUGCCAAGGAUGUUUUCAUUAAUCAAGAACGAAAGUUAGGGGAUCGAAGACGAUCAGAUACCGUCGUAGCCUUAACCAUAAACUAUAGCCGACUAGGGAUCGGAUGAUGUUAAUUUUAAAUGA
rnacentral:sRNA from 1 species